GAAACCUAGUGAUUCUAAACUUAGUGGCGGACGGGUGAGUAACGCGUGGGUAACCUGCCAUAUACAGGGGGAUAACACUUAGAAAUAGGUGCUAAUACCGCAUAAGCGCACAGGACCGCAUGGUCUAGUGUGAAAAACUCCGGUGGUAUAUGAUGGACCCGCGUCUGAUUAGCUAGUUGGUGAGGUAACGGCCCACCAAGGCGACGAUCAGUAGCCGGCCUGAGAGGGUGAACGGCCACAUUGGGACUGAGACACGGCCCAAACUCCUACGGGAGGCAGCAGUGGGGAAUAUUGCACAAUGGGGGAAACCCUGAUGCAGCGACGCCGCGUGAGUGAAGAAGUAUUUCGGUAUGUAAAGCUCUAUCAGCAGGAAAGAAAAUGACGGUACCUGACUAAGAAGCCCCGGCUAACUACGUGCCAGCAGCCGCGGUAAUACGUAGGGGGCAAGCGUUAUCCGGAUUUACUGGGUGUAAAGGGAGCGUAGACGGCCAAGCAAGUCUGAAGUGAAAACCCAAGGCUCAACCAUGGGACUGCUUUGGAAACUGUUAGGCUAGAGUGCAGGAGAGGUAAGUGGAAUUCCUAGUGUAGCGGUGAAAUGCGUAGAUAUUAGGAGGAACACCAGUGGCGAAGGCGGCUUACUGGACUGUAACUGACGUUGAGGCUCGAAAGCGUGGGGAGCAAACAGG
rnacentral:rRNA from 1 species